GACGAACGCUGGCGGCGUGCCUAAUACAUGCAAGUAGAACGCUGAAGGAGGAGCUUGCUUCUCUGGAUGAGUUGCGAACGGGUGAGUAACGCGUAGGUAACCUGCCUGGUAGCUGGGGAUAACUAUUGGAAACGAUAGCUAAUACCGCAUAAGAUUGACUAUUGCAUGAUAGUCAGUUAAAAGGUGCAAUUUCAUCACUACCAGAUGGACCUGCGUUGUAUUAGCUAGUUGGUGGGGUAACGGCUCACCAAGGCGACGAUACAUAGCCGACCUGAGAGGGUGAUCGGCCACACUGGGACUGGGACACGGCCCAGACUCCUACGGGAGGCAGCAGUAGGGAAUCUUCGGCAAUGGACGGAAGUCUGACCGAGCAACGCCGCGUGAGUGAAGAAGGUUUUCGGAUCGUAAAGCUCUGUUGUAAGAGAAGAACGAGUGUGAGAGUGGAAAGUUCACACUGUGACGGUAUCUUACCAGAAAGGGACGGCUAACUACGUG
rnacentral:rRNA from 1 species